rnacentral:rRNA from 1 species
UACGAGGGGGGCAAGCGUUGUUCGGAAUUAUUGGGCGUAAAGGGUGCGUAGGCGGUUUGGUAAGUCUUAUGUGAAAUCUACAGGCUCAACUUGUAGUCUGCAUGAGAAACUGCCGGGCUUGAGUAUGGGAGAGGUGAGUGGAAUUCCUGGUGUAGCGGUGAAAUGCGUAGAUAUCAGGAGGAACACCUGUGGCGAAAGCGGCUCACUGGACCAUAACUGACGCUGAUGCACGAAAGCUAGGGGAACAAACAGG